AGUAUUCCUGAAGCAAAAGAAGUUACAUUCCCGAAUCAUCCCCCACGUCAGAUUGCAAAUCUCCCACUCUUAUUCGCUUCCUUCUCCUCUUCUCUGCUCUCCUUUAAUGGUCAAUCCGCAAGCCAUCCGCAUCGACUCAGCUGGGCUACACCCCCGCCGUCGCCGUCGAGAGAAUCCGGAGUUCCAAGGUCUCCAAACCCGCCCUUAAAUCUCUGGCUUCUUUGAACAAGGCCGAGACCUCCACCGCCGCCGCUCUUAGAGACCUCGGACGGGGCAUGGACGACCGGGUGCGGCAGGAGGGCCGCGUCCCACUCAAGGAAGUGGUGGCGGACUGCACCCGGCGGUGGUUCCAGGACGCGCUCAAGGAGGCCAGGGCCGGCGACGCCGGGAUGCAGGUCCUCGUCGGUCAGAUGUACCACAGCGGCUAUGGUGUCCUGAAGAACGACCAAAAGGCCGAUGCUUGGAUUGCCAAAGCAUCAAAGUACCGUUCAUCGGUUUGGAGGGUUAGCGACAAGCGUCCAGGUUACAAUGCCAGUGACUCGGAUUCUGAUGAUAAUGAGAAGAUUGUUAUGAAAUCAUGAUCAGAGAUAACUUUUAAUGAAUCACGAAUUUGCAUUCAUUGGAUGCUGCCCUGUCGUAAUUCCCAUGCUGAUAUCUGAAGUCCAGUGUGCAUCUACUGCAGCACUUACAGCGAUUUUGGGAACAACAUGCAAAUCCACUGUGGUGCUUCGACAUGAUCCCAAGACAAAGCAAAUGAGUGGGGUUUCCUUCUCCAUCACUUGUUGGAUGCCAAAGGUAAUCUGUCUUCAUCCACAUUGAGUAAGUAUCAGAUCAGUGUGUCACCAGUAGUUGUUUAAGAUUUAGGAUUUAAAAGAUUAUGUGAACUUCUAUUUUAUUUUCAUCUUUGUGAAGCCAAAAUAGAUGCAGUUUCUGGUUGCAGUCCUUUUUUGUCUUCUCAACAGCAUCUGUUUGGCCAUCAAUAUAUGACAUAAAGAACCAAUCACUGAGAAAUAAUUGAACUUGAAUUGUGGAAUAGUUCUUAUCCUAAAUAUCUAGAUUACUUGUCUCCAUAA